UACGAAGGGGGCGAGCGUUGUUCGGAGUUAUUGGGCGUAAAGCGCGCGCAGGCGGCCUCGCGCGCCCGACGUGAAAGCCCCCGGCUUAACCGGGGAGGGUCGUUGGGGACGGCGGGGCUUGAGGGCGGGAGAGGGUGGUGGAAUUCCCGGUGUAGUGGUGAAAUGCGUAGAGAUCGGGAGGAACACCCGUGGCGAAGGCGGCCACCUGGGCCGACCCUGACGCUGAGGCGCGAAGGCGUGGGGAGCGAACGGG
rnacentral:rRNA from 1 species